AAAUGCGAUAAUUAAUGUGAAUUGCAGAAUUCAGUGAAUCAUCGAAUCUUUGAACGCACCUUGCGCUCCUUGGUAUUCCUUGGAGCAUGCCUGUUUGAGUAUCAUGAAAUCUUCAAAGUAAAUCUUUUGUUAACUCAAUUGGUUUCUACUUUCGUAUUGGAGGUCUUUGCAGCUUCACACCUGCUCCUCUUUGUUCAUUAGCUGGAUCUCAGUGUUAUGCUUGGUUCCACUCGGCGUGAUAAGUUAUCUAUCGCUGAGGACACUGUAAAAGGUGGCCAAGGUAAAUGCAGAUGAACCGCUUCUAAUAGUCCAUUGACUUGGACAAUACUUUUAUGAUCUGAUCUCAAAUCAGGUAGGACUACCCGCUGAACUUAAGC
rnacentral:misc_RNA from 1 species